rnacentral:rRNA from 1 species
GUGGGGAAUAUUGGACAAUGGGCGAAAGCCUGAUCCAGCCAUGCCGCGUGUGUGAAGAAGGUCUUCGGAUUGUAAAGCACUUUAAGUUGGGAGGAAGGGCAGUAAGUUAAUACCUUGCUGUUUUGACGUUACCGACAGAAUAAGCACCGGCUAACUUCGUGCCAGCAGCCGCGGUAAUACGAAGGGUGCAAGCGUUAAUCGGAAUUACUGGGCGUAAAGCGCGCGUAGGUGGUUUUGUAAGUUGGAGGUGAAAUCCCCGGGCUCAACCUGGGAACUGCCUCCAAAACUGCAUGACUAGAGUACUGUAGAGGGUAGUGGAAUUUCCUGUGUAGCGGUGAAAUGCGUAGAUAUAGGAAGGAACACCAGUGGCGAAGGCGACUACCUGGACUGAUACUGACACUGAGGUGCGAAAGCGUGGGGAGCAAACAGGAUUAGAAACCCCAGUAGUCC